CUAUCCAGGGAUUUCCGUGAAGAGUCAAGUUCUUCAACAUCUUGGAACUCGACAGCACCUCCAAGACUUCGCUGUCCAAACUCUUCAGUUGAUUAUCCUGUAGGAACAGAACUUCGAGUGUCGGAGACACUCCACUGACAGAUAUUCAGGAGCUCCAGUUUGGUUGAUUUAUCGAAUGCUGCAGGCUCGAUGACUUCUAGGUGAUUACCACCUAGUUCAAUGGCCUUGAGAUUGGGUAAAUUGAGAAAAUCAUGAGGUAAAUCGCGGAGAUCAUUCUGAUGUAGGUUGAGGACAGUUAAAUUCUUGAGAUCCUGGAGGAGAUCGGCAGUGACAUUUUUCAAACCAUUGCUGGACAGCUGACCAUGGGAGAAGAUAUCGCGUAUGGACUGGUUGAAAUCAACUAUUAGCUUGUUAGAGCACAAGUUUGAUCAUUCAAAAACAUGUGUUGGGAGCAACGUGUUACAACAAUUUUCUGGCAUUCACUUGAAAUUACUCACCGGCUUAUUGAAGCACUCAGGUUCGUUAUUCCCAAAUACCGUUGACGAUGAUAAGAAAAAUCAACAUAUGUCUGUUGACUCUGUUCGCCAAUAAUUCCUUCACUUUCGCAGAACUGCACAGGCCAUCCACUGGCAGUCGUCACUACACAUCAACGUACUGAACACUAAUGAGAAAGUUUGAAAGUGUUGUGGAGGUACUACAGGAGGACGUUACGUGAAUGAAACUACUACAGCUUGAGGCUGACUGAACACUGAACAUCAGCAAAUCACCAGUGAAGCGACUGGUGAAGGUCUGCACUACGGUCAUAGGAGAAGGGGCCUGGGCCAGUACCCCCACUCCCUGGAAUUAGGUCUGUGGCGAUUUCCCUCACUCCAGACGUCGAAACAGUUUUCGCAGUGUUACGUAUUUACCUGGCCUCCUACUCCCCACCACUGUCAGAAAAUUCGGGAACUGCUGGUGGGGCAUGUGGGGGGAGGAGCACGUGGUGGCGCGUCCAAUGUGCAGAUUAGGAUAACUAGGGGAAAUAUUACGGAUUUGAAAAAUCCAAGGGAACGGAGACAAAUGAACAUCAAUUAACAUGCAUUAAGUGUGAGAAAAUGGAGAAAAUAUGGGCGCCAUCAUCGUAAAGCUGGGCUUUAAAUAGGAAGAUAAUGGAGGAAUUGGGGAACAUUUUUUAAGCAGACGUAUAUCUCUGAGCAAAGUCUACAUAGUUUCCAAAUUUGGUAGGAAUAUAUAGCAAACUCUAUAUGAGACAUAGACAUAUGUUUAUAUGGGUAUAUAGAUAUAAACAUAUGUAUAUGUAUCUUUUAUUUAUUUGAGUAUAGUUCGGGCUAAUGCAAGAUAUAUGUUCAGAUUAUCUCUUCAUUAUAUAAUUUUCUGUAACUAUUUUGAAUAGGUCACUUUGGCUUUGAGUGACUGUUACUCAAUAGUAAAUUAUGAUUGAGUAAGCACUGAUGAUGCAACGCGAUGAAUGAUAAGUGCGAGAGGAAACAUUGCAAUAUAUACACAAAUGUAUGUAUCGGCAAAAUCCAAUAGCUUUGAGGGUAUAUUGUUUGGGAAAUAAAUAUCUUUCCUCAUCAUUGAAAUGAUAUGUCGGAAUUUUCCUCUCAAUUUUGCUGGGGUGAGCCCUGAAUUACUAUUGAUUGGUCAUAUUAUAAUUAUUUUAGUAAGUGGAAAGUCACUAAUGCCUGAGUCUGGAUUUCUAACAAUUGAAAAAACUUGUAAUUUCGGUUGCUGUCAUCGAACCCAUUUUUUCAAUGUGAAGUAAAAAAAGGGAAUUCAUUCCAACUGUUCUGUAUUUCUUAGUAAUAGGUCAACAUGUUGAGAUCGCAGAAGCUGUUGAAAAUCUAGAAAAAUCACGAGUAAACCAUGGAUUAAUCGCCAUCUACGUCGUAACCUCUGAAGAUCGCCGAUGUACGAUAAUAAAGUUGAUCAAAACAAUCAGAGGAUCUCUCCAAUAUCAUCGCCCUGAUUAGACGACAAUUGAAAAUGUACAAGUUCGCGUGACACAUCCCUGAUUAAUUCAGCAAGAAUAACAUUGCCAUUCCAUUCAUGUAAUGUUCAGGGUUAUUUUGUUGUGAUUAUAGACCUCGGGGAAUCCCCCAGUGGUGAAUUACGGGUGGCUAAGAGACCGCCCGUCGGUAGGGGAUUUUCGGUCAAUAGCUGAUGGUUUAUGAGGGUUUAGGGUCAUUCACCGCUCGUCUGGCCUUGGGGAUCGGCUGAGUACAGACCGCAAACUUAUCGUCCUAAGGCCCCGUUAACCUACUUGUAUUUGUACAAUGGAAAAUGCGUGUGGGGAGAAAUUAUCAGACGACAUUGAGGCGCCAAAGAGACGAUUUUAUUGAAAUGUUCGUUAAAAAAUAUUUAAUGGGAAAAGACAAUAGAAUUCGAUUUUUCCACAUGAUUUAGUAUCAACAAUGUUCUAGUCUUUUAAAAUUGUUAUAGAAAAAUUAAUCAAAAAAUUUAUACCAAUAAAAUUUUGUAAAGAUAUCUCUCGGUAUUUCUGGCGAAUGUUUUUAUCUAUUCAAUUAUUUUUCGUAUAAUGUUUACAAUUUU